rnacentral:lncRNA from 10 species
UAUUUUUGCAAUUGCAAAUUGUGCUGCUAUAAAUAUCUGUGUGCAAGUAUUUUUUUCUUGUGUAAUGACUUCUUUUCCUCUGAGUAGAUACCUAGCAGUGGGAUUGCUGGAUCAAACAGUAGAUCUACUUUUAGUUCUUUAAGGAAUCUCCACAAUGUUUUCCAGAGUGGUUGCACUAGUUUACAUUCCCACCAACAGUGUAAAAGUGUUCCCUUUUCACUGCAUUCAUGCCAACAUCUUUUAUUUUUUUUGAUUGUGGCCAUUCUUACAGCAGUGAGGUGGUAUUGCAUUGUGGUUUUGAUUUGCAUUUCCCUGAUAAUUAGUGAUGUUGAACAUUUUUCCAUAUGCUUGUUGGCCACUUGCAUAUCUUCUUUUGAGAAUUGUGUAUUCAUGCCUUAGCCCAUUUUCUGAUGGGAGUAUUUGUUUUUUUCUUGCUGAUUUGUUUGAGUUCUUUGUAGAUUCUGGAUAUAGCCCUUUGUCAGAUGUGUAGAUUGUGAAGAGUUUUUUCCCAUUCUGUGGGGUGUCUGUUAACUCUGCUGAUUAUUUCUUUUGCUGUGCAGAAGCUUUUCAGUUUAAUUAAGUCCCAUCUAUUUAUUUUUGUUUUUGUUGCAUUUGCUUUUGGGUU